GACGAACGCUGGCGGCGUGCUUAACACAUGCAAGUCGAACGGAAAGGCCCUGCUUUUGUGGGGUGCUCGAGUGGCGAACGGGUGAGUAACACGUGAGUAACCUGCCCUUGACUUUGGGAUAACUUCAGGAAACUGGGGCUAAUACCGGAUAGGAGCUCCUGCUGCAUGGUGGGGGUUGGAAAGUUUCGGCGGUUGGGGAUGGGCUCGCGGCUUAUCAGCUUGUUGGUGGGGUAGUGGCUUACCAAGGCUUUGACGGGUAGCCGGCCUGAGAGGGUGACCGGCCACAUUGGGACUGAGAUACGGCCCAGACUCCUACGGGAGGCAGCAGUGGGGAAUAUUACACAAUGGGCGGAAGCCUGAUGCAGCAACGCCGCGUGCGGGAUGACGGCCUUCGGGUUGUAAACCGCUUUCGCCUGUGACGAAGCGUGAGUGACGGUAAUGGGUAAAGAAGCACCGGCUAACUACGUG
rnacentral:rRNA from 1 species